UCCCCUCUCCCCGAAACCCUCUGAAAUCGACAUCCUCCUCCCCCUCUCCCCGAAACCCUCGUCCCUUUCCUCUCCUUGCGUCCACGCCGCCGCCCUCCCUCUCCAAGCUCGCAUCACAGCACCGCAGGAAACCAGCGGCUUGGAGGAGCGCGCGAGCCACGGCAGGCCGAUGCGGAGAUCGGUCACUGGAGCUCGUCCUUCGGCCGCCGCUCGCCCCGCAAACUCAUCUCGUCGCAUCGCCGGGAGGAGCAGCAGGUUCAGCGCCGACGGCUGAUGCGGGAGAGAGGCUGCCUCCUUCCUUUCUCCUCUCAACCAAUUUCCACUUCUGCACAAGAAACGUGGAUGCCCGUCGCGGCACCUUGCGAGAGGAGGCAGUAGGACGGUGGCGGCAGCAGUCUGCUCCCUCCUGUUGUCUGACGGGGAAGAGGAAGGAGGCGACAUAGGAAGGAGGAGCAGUCAGAGGAGCUAGAGCGGCAGCGGUAAGAAGAGGUGAUGUGGAAGAUCGCCUCCGUGAAGCCCCUCUCCAUCAUCUUCUGGCUUGAGGACGCCAAUAUCAUUCUUGACCAGUACAAGCCAACAAAGGCACUCAUAACCUCCUCCCCUCUCUCAUCCCCUACCCACAAUUUCUCAUAUUUAUUUUUGUUGAUGUUUUGUAUCUAUGCAUAUAAGGUGUUUUAGGAAAAUCCAAAAAAGGCUGCAGUACAAGCUAGAACAUGUAUGUGGCUAUUCACUGGUGUUCUGUGCGUGCAGGUUACGGAUCAGAGGAACGCACGGCCGUAGUCACUAGCACCGUGAAAUUUUCCACAACGUGGUGUGGGCUUCUUUAUCCACCUGCCGGAUGCUGGAAUGGUGAACUUUUUUGUUGUUGUUAGGAGCACAGUCUCCGAAGCAUACGCAUCAGGAGGUGGGAAUGAAGCACAAGCUCCUCAUGGAUGUUUCCAAAAUAAUAACUUCAGGAUCAAGUGGCAUUUCCGACGAGAAGUCUAGGAAUCUUUCUGCCAAAUCAAAAUCAGAGACGAAGGAUUAUUUUUCUUCUCAAAUUAUGACACCUCAAAAAAGAGAGGUGAGAAAUGCGGGUUCAGACAAUGUGUUCUUCUUCUUUUUCUUGGUUUACUGCGUGCUUCCACCAUCCUUAUUAUAUACAAUGGUGUUUGAGGAUCUCAUACACAGAGAAGAUAUGAACUAAAGACUUGUUGUGGAGAUCUAUGGUAAUACCAUACUUAUUCUAUUCCCAAGUUAAUCACUGCAAAGAUAAAAUAAUUUGGACUAGCAUCCUAAUUUUCAACUACUAUUAAUCUUCCAACAAGAUGAAAGGAAAAAAGCAUCUUGGUGUUAUCUCAGUUUUUGUAAGUGCAUAAAGAUUUCAUGUUGAUUCCUCUCUGUUCUUUGUAUGGUUAUGAUGUGUCCCCUUGCAAUGCAAGAUUGUCAAUACCAAUAGUAGGUUUUAUUUUUUAGUAAACUAACUUUUUGUGUGAUAACUGGAGUACAAUGUUUGUCUCUGCUCCAGAUUUAGUUGUUCCUGACGCAGCCCAAUUUAAGUGGUAGUUCAGCUCGUUUUUUAUUUUUAUUUUGUUAGCAGCACAUAAUUUUUCUUCUGAAUGUUAGGAAUGAAUGAGCUUCAUCUAAACAGAAUAGCAAUGCUACAAGGUCUUAUCAGGCAUCAUGCUCUACUCUCUUUCAAUGCAAGCCUGCCUGUAGUUUUAGCAGCAAUUAUCAUUAUGUGUUUUUGUGGUACUAUAUGCAUUAUUGCAUUAUCAAAAAAGUGUAACCCGACCAUGGUUAUGCUUGCUUAACAUUCUGGUCUUCUGGAGUUCCGGACUAGUGUGUUCACUAUUUCCGGUGGACAUUCAUGAAAUAAAUAUGAGUUCUUAUUUCUUUUUUUAGCUCAAUAAAAUAUUUCAUCUGUAUCUACUAUUCUACUGAAUUGAACGUCAUAUUUCUUGACCCAUAUACCUCAUGAAUAAAUACAGGUUCUGAAUUCUUCAUCCAUUAAAUCACAUGUUUCAUUUGCUUGUACCCCAUUGGACGGUAUCAUGUUUCUUCUCCUCGGUGAAUACUAAAAACUCUUGCUUCUAUACAACUUAUAUGCAAGAUUGCCUAGGGCUAAGCUAUUGAGAGGAAUCUCAAUGCUGCCUAGAGCAUAUAAUAGGAUGUCCACCUGCUUCGUGAAAAUUGCCCUCUGAAAGCUAAGUUUCUUGAUCUUAUACUCCUUGGGCAAAUUAUAUUUUUUUACUUAUGUAGUUAAUUUGGAGUGACAAAAUGAUCUGACUAUCUUGGAACCCUGAGAAUGCACUGCUGUGUAUGUUCUAAUGAACAUUGGACCUGGAGUGCUAUUAACAUUUUGGUGCGUGUUCAGUCAAAAGACAAGUACUCAGAAGUACUCAGAGCAACAAGUUAAUACUCUACCCGUAGAAUAUGAUCUAUCGAGUUGCUGCAGUUAUAUUAACGGAGGCUAUACAUUUCCUUGAGUAGAUUCAUUGGAGUUUUAGUAAGUAUCUGUAUCCACAUGUUUAUCAAUCCCUUUUCUAUAAUAGGCUAUAUGUAUAGUGGGAUCCCGAAGUGGUCCUCGGGGCAUUUAGGUAGAUUAUACACAUUUGAGUUCAUGGUGCGCACCAUCAUGUCUCCUGAAUGCCAUACAGUUCUAUCAUUUCACAAGGACAUAGUGUUUUCUGCAUUAAGGCCAGGGUUAACACAACAAGGUAAAAAAGAAUUGGUCAGAGACUUAAUUGGGCAUCAAAAUUUGAAAACACGAUAGAAAUAGUAUGCUAUAAUUGGUAGUGUUACAGUUUAACAAACAAUAUUUGACCACAUGAAAAUAGGUCGGCUUUGUCUGCCAUUCACGUCAUAGAAGUUACCUUUUUCAACAAGAAUAAUCACGGAGAUGCGAUGUGAUGACUACCUUUUAUCAUUCUUGUAUAUGAAAAGAGUAUCGUAGUUGCAUUAUUUUUUCGGUCCUCAUAUAUCUGCAUUGUCUUGAAUUUAUCAUCUUUCAGGAAAAGAAAUUGAUUUUUUUAGAACCAGAGAGAGAUGGGCCGACAGAGAUAUAGAAAUUGAUAGACAGAGAUCCAGCCAAAGGGAUGCUUCGUCAAGACCUCCAUCGACAUCAGGCUCUGCCCCGCAUGCCUCCCCUAAGCUGUGCACUCCACGUCUCCACCACCCAACGGGCAACCACCAGCGCGUCUACCAGGCCAACGAGAUCAUCGAUGCCUCCAACAACAACAUCAACCACAGAUCAGCAGGUGUCUGUCUGCACGCAACCCUCGGGUGCUAAGUUUCCUAAUUUUACAUGUGCAACCCUGGUGGAUUGGUGAAUAUGUACUGAAAUUCUUGGCCAACGUUGUCUUGCUGCACUACAAUAUUAUACCGAAUGACAAGCUGUAGCGAUCUCAAGCUGGAUUGGUCUUCAAGCGCCUGCAAAAGCCAAUGAGAUAAUGAAAUUAUUGGUGAUUCCAAAUGGAGAGGAUUUGGUUGCUUCAUGUUCUUUGUUCUGAAUAGCACAUAAAUUUCAGCUUAUCUGCAUGGUCUAUAAUAUUUUCUUCGAAGAUUCACAAAAGGUAUGAUUCCUGAACUUUGAAUACUUCAAUAUACAUUUGGCAUUACCAACUUCCCAAAUUUUGUCGAUCUAUAUAGCAAUAUUUUUUAUUGUUCCCCAUGUAAAAGUUAAGUUACAUGUAUCGUAUACUUUGUUGUACAAGUAGCUUACUUAUAUCUAUGUAGAUUUAGUAGCACAUCAGACUGAUCACGUAGCAGGUAAAAGCUGAUGCCUGAUGGGUUCAAUCACAAUUUGUUAUUGCUCUGUUCUUGAUUGAUAGUUAAAUGUAAGGUUAUAAAAUUAAUGGAUAUAGAUUUAUGACACUGUUUGUACCGAGAGUUUAUACUCUUCGAAUAUCGAGAUAUUUCAUUGUUAGUGCGCUAUGAUAUUUGAGCAACCAUAUUAACAAGAGUAACAACAAUGUUUAGGAUUGAUCCGGCUUCAGGUAACAACCAUAUUAACAAGAGUAACGGCAACAAUCGCAUGCAUCUCCAUCUCAUCAUCGAUGAUAGAGGUGAAAUGCUGGGAUGCAGCCAGGUUGGGAUACAACAGUUUUGCUUGUGAGCCAUGUCUUGUUGGUAUUUUCCUAGGUUUAAACGAGGCAUAGAAAUUUUUGUUUCCUGUAAUACGAAGGUCCGCCUUGAUUGUUGAUCCCGAGGUGGAAGAAGAUUGAUCAUAGGGGUGUAUUGUUCGCUUACAUUUUUUGUGUUCAUAUUGGCCUGAACCAUAUAAGAUAGAUUGGAACUUGGUUAGAAAUCUAGCGAAGAGAGAUGUCUCACAAAAUUCCUGUACGUACUAUGUGAAAACAUGCUUUCAUAAUAGAUUAGGACAAAUUUCAUGUUUGACCUACUUCAUUGGGACAAAAUGUAGCAGCUGGCAGUUCUGAACUACCUUAUGUUUUGAGCUUGACUUGCUCACAAAAUUGUAGGAUCCUUUCAUAGGCUAAGCUUGCAUUAUUUGUUUUCUUUUCUACCUGUUGCAAAAUCUUUCUUUGCUGCAAAUAUUGGUACUGUCCUCCCCAUUUGCCAGGUACAGCUCUAGGUCAAUUCUCCUAUAUUCUAUUUACGUGCGUGAUUUCAACAAUAUUAAGAUCUCAUAUGCAUGUUUGAUGGUUCAUAGCAGCCCCUUGCUUCUUUAUUUCAGGCUCAAGCUAAGUUAUAGUAUUUGUUAUGUUGACUGAGUAUAACGAAGUGCUUUCCACGAUAGAACUCAAGGGGCGUGAGGGAUAGUAUACUAAUAGCACAAACGUGUGGACUAAUCUGUUGUUUCUUUGGACAAAAAUUAGCUAGAAGGAUAAGAGUACUAAUACAUAUUCUAGCCUCUAAAAUUCUAAGUGUGAGACCAAGUUGUAUCAUAUCUGAAGAUUUGCCAAAGAAGUGUUAGACCAAGUUUUAUCAUAUCUGAAUGUUUGCCAAAGAAGUGACAUACCCAGUUGUAUACACGCAAGUGAGUUAUUUACUGACCUUGUGCAUUUCUCUUGAUCAUUUCGAUAUUCUUUAAAUGGUAGAAAAGGCAUUACCACCUGUGGUGCCACAUAUAGCACCAACAGCCAAUGUCUUUGGUGUCGUUUUGAACUCUUCAAAAACGACAUAGUACAGAACUUGGUGAUCUAGCUGUGGACUGUGGUGAUCUAGACGUGCUGGUGUACAUUGUAUACUAUACAAGAUCUGUAAAGUCUAGCAUAUAAUCCUUUUUCUCCUACUGCUGAUUUGAUUGUUGUAUUUCUACCUCUGUACCUUACUUAAACCUAAAACUGACCGUAACUUGCCAUCGGCACAAGAAAAAGGGCAUUGUAAUCAUUUUCGGUUUGCCAGGGGUUGCAAGUGAUUCUAGAUAAGGAGGAACGUGUAAUAAUUUUUGUUUUACUCAUUCUUUUCUCUUCUGUUCUGAAAUUUGGAUUGUCCAAGCACCAUGUUAUUAUUUUGGCAACAUCUUAAGGUGAUAAAAUAGACAUGGCAUUAAAAAUAGAUGUCCAGGUACCAAACUAUGAUCCGUGAUCAUUUAGUUUCCUGUUUGUCCUUUCGAUCCAGUCAGCAGCGCAAUGUCCCCUAA